UAUUACCCUUCGAGGUUCAGGCCUCAGCUCAACUGGAGACCAGCUUGUCUGUGCAUAGCCCAAUUCCCCACAGAAACCUAGGCUUCAUAUAUGAGAGAGAACAUUCAAUAUUUGUCAUUUUCCCCUCCCAUUACCCUCUCUUGGUCUCCUCUUCCCCUUCCUUUAGACCUUUGUCAUCUUCUACCCAUGUGGUCUCCUUUCUGCCCCCCACGCCCAUCUUGGAAUGAGGGUGUGAUCUCUUCCUCUUUUUUUUUUUUUUUUUGCUCCUCUCAAUAUUGGGGAUUAGAAGUAAGGUCUUUCCUACCCAGAGAAGCUUCUCCCGUUAUAUCCUCAACCUUAUUCUGACCUUUGGUUUUGAGAGAGGGCUUCACUAAGUUUUCUAGGCUGGCCUUGAGUUCACUUUGUAUCCCAGGAAAGCCUUGAACUUGUAAUAAGAUUCCCCCUGUGUUGCCUUUUUGAAUUCUUGGGUUACAGGCUCGAAUCACUGGCUCAGUUAUCCAACUCUGGCUUUUUUAACUAAGCAUGAUGAUUUCUGUAUAUUUCCCUGCAAACAAACAAAUGAAUUCUUCUUUUACAAGUGUGUGCACGUGUGUUUGUCUGCUUGUUUACAUGUGUACCAUGUGUAGAUGUCAAUGAAUCCAGAUGAGGGAGUCAGAACCCCUAGAACUAGAGUUACAGGUGGUUGUCAGCUCCACAGUGUGGGUGCUAGGAGCCAAACCUGUGUCUGCUGUAAAAGCAGUAAUGCUCCAAACCACUGAGCCACCUCUUCAGUCUCUUUUAUCCUUCUUUACAGCAGAAUAAAAUUUCACUGUGCAUGUACACCAACUGUCCCUACUCCAUCCAUCUGUUGACAGGUAACUAAGCUGGUUUUGCAUCUUGCUAGUUAUUGUGGACAGUUAUGGCAAUCAACACCGAAGUGUAACAGGUCUGGGUCUGUGCUGACGUACGUUGCUUUUGAUAUACAGGCUGGACUUGUUAACCUGGAUCACAUGGGGAUUCUCCUUUCUGUGUAUGGAGGAACCUCCAGGCUGAUUUGCACAGAGGCUGCACUGGUGUACACCCCCACAGCAGCAUACAGGAAUGUCCUCUCUCCCACGUCCUUGUCAAUGUUUGUUGCUAUUUUCCCUUUGCAAUAGCCCUAAGAUUUGAAGCCAAAGGCAAGCAGACAAGGACCUUUAUUUGGUUAUGGUGGCUCUCUUCCAUACAGAUCUACCUCAGUUUACUUGACUGUGCUCCAUUCUCCUCUCAAGAUUGUGAUUAGAUCCAAGACAACUGUGUUUUGGAAAACAUGAUAGCGUUCCUGACAGGUGUGUCCUCAGACCUUAUAAUUCUAAGCCAGGGGUGACUUUAAGGGGUUAACUGUUGGGAAAUGCUUCAUGUAGGACCUGCGAUCUGGACACAUUUAACCCCACGGCCACCAGAUCUUGGCUUGUCUUCUCUUCCUCUACUCGAAGACAACAGGGAAAGCUGUUUCUUGGACUUGUUCCUUGAGUCAGCCGAGCUCAGAUGCGUCUCCAGGCUGGUGGCUUUGUGACCUCUUUUGUGUUAGGUGCCCUGGGCCUGGGAGGGACACCAGUUUUGUCCUGGAGCCAUUGCUUGUUGUCACUGGGAAUUCUCCUGUGUAUUCCUGGCCUUACCAUGCUUAAUGCACCCAAGCCUUCAUUUAAAGUAAUAACCAGCCUGAGGUUUAUGAAAUAAAAGAUUGAUAGCGACUUCAUGAAACUCAGGCAAAAGCAAUAUCUUUGUGAUAUCUCACUGUGCUUUUAACUCCAGGAACCUUCAUAUACAGUGGCCACUAAAAAUGAAAUAACAACAACUGCAAUGAUAAUAAUAAAACGGAGGCCAUCUUCCGAGAACCACAGCUGGAGUUAAGGAUGGCUUUUAGUUCUUUAUUGAUUUCAUGGCAACUGAUAAUUAUGCUUAUUUCUUUCUUCACUCUUAAAGAAUAUUUUCAUUUUAAAGGGAAAGAUUCAUAGAGUGCAGUCCGAAGGACACGUCUUUUUGUAGGCUUAUUUAUGUCCUGAGAGCCUGGACAGCCAAUACCGGGCCAUAGCUGUUUUCUUCAUUAUGAGGAAGGGGGUAUCACAGAGUAGGGGAAGGAUUACCUUUCUUGAUAGCUUGAAACAUUCUGCAAAGAAAAUCUGCUUUAUACCUGUUUUUCGAGAACCCAUCCAUCUCACAGGCUGGGCUAUUUUUUUUUUGCACACUAUAAGGAAGCUAUAAGGACUUGUAAUAAGCACAGGAUUUGACACCAUGAGCCAACAUUAUUUAGCUUCAGAAUAAAGUUAUACUCUCUCUCCCAGGACUUAACUUUUCUUACUGGCUAUCUUCGUCACUUUAGAUGUUUGCCAUGUACUUUGUAAUUAUUUUCAAUUUAAUUUCUACCCAGCCAGGCAACAUCCACCAUUUAAUUAGAGCAUUUACUCCAGUUGCCUUUAGCUGGGCCUGAGUUUUUUCUCUUGUUAUUGGCCUUUAUCUGACCAUCAGUUUUUUCUCUUCUUCCCAUUUUUAUCCAACCCUCUCUUCUUCUUCAUACUCUCCCUCCCUCCCUCCCUCCCUCCCUCAUAUUCAGUGGGCUAAUGUGCUCAUACUGCAUAAGGGCAGAAAAGCCCUUAACCAAGUCACUCUUCUAAAUCACCCAGGAAAGUUAGAAAUUAGCUGUUCCCGAAAGGUCUCAAAGGACAGCCAGAUAUUAAAGUUUCUCCAAUUGUCUCAUGUGGCUGGACUAUUUGGUCUAGCUUUGACAUCUUCUGGAAGCCUCACCUUGGAGGGACUAGGCUCUGGGUUGAAGUUUCUCUUUCCAGUGCAGUUUGCUUUUCCCAGGGAUUUUACACACGAUUUGUCACAGGAGAAAGUGCCAGAGACAAAUCAAACCUCAGACCCAACUUGAGAGAAAGGACCUCUGUAUCAGUUAUUUUAUAUGAUGCCAUCCCCUGUGGGGUUUAUAUUGUUAAACUCAUUCUUAGCACAGGAACCGAUUUUCUUAGCCAUACAGCCACGUGGCUUUUGGAGCUAGCCUGGACAAACAGGCAUUCACUAACUUUGCUUUGCAUGCUCUGAUUCCAAGAGAAUCCCGUGCUGCACCCUGGCUUAGUGCCAGUGACCAGUGGCUGGCAUCACACUGGAGGACCAGGGCUGCCGAGAACAAAAUUUAUCAUGGAAUAACAGCUAACUCUCACGUGAGUGGUACCCAAUUGGUGGUAUCAAGAGAAGAUGUGGGAAGGUUCAUUCUCAUUGCACCUUGCUAUGCGCAUUGGAUGCCAUCCACAAAGUCUUGGGGCCUCCUCCUUCCAACAAGAUUAAUUUUGUGGGAAAUGGAGAUAAAAUGUAAUAUUUUUUCUAUCAAAGGGUUAAAGGAAGAUAUUUCAUUAAAAAGUGUAAAGAAGCUAUGUGGAAGAAAUUAAAAUUCCUUCUGGGCCAGUGCUUCUCGUAAUCAAAUAUAUAUGUUCAAAUUUUGAAACUGCACUGCCCUGUAGUAUCUGAUCAUGUAAGGAUGGGAGGUCAAGUUCUGAGCACUCAGAGUGAGGCGUGGGACCCUUCUGAGUUAGGGACAAACCCUAGCAGGAGCUCUGCUGCGCAUGCUUGUUUGCCAGCGUAUGCACGGUUAUAUACUCUUAUGCAGACAUGAAACGUUUUGCCUUGCCAAGAGAGUAUAGAUUGCGUGGUGAUUUUCUUGAGACUCUAGACAUAAAUGGCCAUCCUACCUGUCUUCGUCACUGUUCUAUUGAUGGGAAGAGGUACCUAUGACCACGGCAACCAAAGAAAGCACUUACCUGGGGACUUGCUUACAGUUUUAGCGUUCCCACAUGAUCAUCAUGGCAGGAAGCAGACAUCCAUGGCACAGGAGCAGGAGCUGAGAGCUUUACAUUGUGAUCUUCCUCAGGCAUCAGGGAGAAAGGAAGGGAAAGAGAGAGAGGGGGGGAGGGGGAGAGGGAGAGGGAGAGGGAGAGGGAGAGGGAGAGGGAGAGGGAGAGGGAGAGGGAGAGGGAGAGGGAGAGGGAGGAGAGGGAGACUUGGCCAGGCAUAGGAUUUUGAAACUCAAAGCCCACCGCCAGUGACAUGCCUCCUCCAACAAGAACACAUAUUCUACCCAAAGGCCACACCUCCUAAUCUUUCCAAAAUGAUUCCCCUAACGGAGAACCAAACACUUAAAUAUAUGAGCCCAUAGGGGCCAUUCUCAUGUAAACCACCACACUAGCAGAAACAAUUUACAGAUUCCAUGCAAUCUCAAUAAAAAUCCCCAUGAUACCCUUCACACAAAUGAGGAAAAACCCUAAAAUUCCUAUGAAACCACAGUAGCUAAAUAAAUUCUAAGUGGGGGGGGGGAUGUUGGCGGGAUUGCUGUAUCACAUUUAAAGAUAUAUAUUACAGAACAUUAGUAAUAAAACCAGCAUGGUACUGCCGCAAAAAUAGAUUGUAGAUCAAAGAAACAAAAUAGAAGAGCCAAACCCGAGUGGACAUAAUUACAGCCAUCUGAUAUUUGACAAAGAUGCCGAAAGCACACACUGGGGAGAAAACAAAAUCUUUAACAAAGGAUGCUGGGAAACACGUAGAAGAAUGAAAUUAGACACACACCCAUCACUCUGCACAAAUGGAACCAAAGAACUGAUGUGAGUCCAGAGAUACCAAAACUGCCCAAAGAAGACAGGCUGUCUCUACAAGAGAUAAAUGUAAGAAAGGACUUUCUGAAUAGGAUUCCCUUCACUCUGGAAUUAAAGUCAACACCAACAAAUAAAAUUUAUAAAACUAAACAGCUUCUGUGUAGCAAAAGAAACAGGUGACUCAACAGCUUCUUUAGAACGAAUUCUGUGACUAGAUGCUGUGUCCCUCCAAGACUCUGAAAGUUACCAGAGUAACCAGGAUGAGGCCAACUGAUAUGGGAGAAGAAAAGGUAGCUCACAGCCAACUUCAGGAAGCUGAUAAAGCGGCAGAGGUUGUUUGCAAAAGCCAGUCUGGUCUCACCAGUAAAGAAUGGAUCAAAUAGAGCUGUCAAUUAGCAAGCACAUCAUGACUUAGCUCCCAGUUCUCUUAUGCUCAAAUCGCAACCACCAUGUUGGUCCCUUCCUUCCAAUGGAGGAUAGAGAACAGGGCAGAUAAAUUGCCAAACAAAACCAGAAUGUAGAGGCCAGUCUCUCAUAGCUACCAAGGAACCAUGAAGGGGCACAAACUUCACCAUAAAUCAUAAAUGUGCAUAAACUCAAAUGCACAUCAAGGUAGCCAAAGCUUGGAUUAAAUUGGAGCAUUUUUGCUUCAAUAGCAUUUGAUUAUCCUUCUGAUGUUAUUAUGAUGAUGGUAACUGCUGCAAUUUUGCUAUUGUGUAGAAACGGUUUGCCCAAAGAGACAAAUCAAGAAUAACAGAGACGAUUUGCUGCGAGCAUCCAUUUGGAAGGCCAGGCAGCAUUCCAUUCAGGAAAGCUCGGUGUGUUCAGGAGAGCCUGACCGCUUCCCACCAGGGAGAAUCACGGUGGAAGUGGAAUUAUCCUUUGCCGCCCCGCCCCCCAAUUUUGCUGUCAGAGAGCAGUGGAACCUUAGACAGGGUAUUCCCAUGGCCUCUGCGAGGAAGUUCUGUAAAUCUGAUCUUCUAUCAGGUGACACCCUGCCAGAUUUUUACCUGCUGUGUUUGUGAACGUGCAGAAUGCUCUCCUACCCCUACCCACCCCCCCCCCAAGUCUGUGUGGUCAGCUGUCUUCAUGUUCCUACAGAUCCACUUUGUUAGAAGUCCCUCUGGGAGCUGCGGGUAGAGAGAAUGGUGGGAUUUCCUCCCUAAGACUGAGGUCAGUGUGAACGCAGAAUACUAUGCCUAGAACGGAGGACAGUCGUCACAGGGGCUACUUGUCACGUGGUGUUGAUAUAGCUGGAUAUCAGUCUUCAGAAUGUACUUGUGGGAGGAUCCCGGGAUCUCCAUGCCCCUCCCCCUGCCCCCGUCCCUGCCCCUCCAUCACCUGCCCCAUACAAGGAAUAGCAUAGAGACAAUUUAUUAGGAGGUAGUAUAUUUCCAGGGAUGGUGAAGCAGGUUGAGCAAAGAGAGAAUGUUUAUAGGUUCAAUAGUCUCCUAUACAAAGAGUUGGGGGUUUUAUGUCACAUAACACAGGCUUUUUGGGUUAUUUGCAUAACAUGGGCUUUUUUAGUUCAUUUGCAUAGCACGGGCCUUUCUGAGCAUGCUCUGUUACAUACAGUUUUGUGUACUAUUUCACGCAUCACAUGUCUCGUUAGCAUUUUAACUCUCUAGCCCGGGGUGUGGUGCCUUUGCAUUUAAAACGGGUUGUAGGUGAAUCUCAGCCGCCCUGGCUCUGGACCGCCUCUGUUCUCCCUCUGUUUCGUGGGAGCAGCUAGGUCUGCGGCAGCUGCCUGAACUGGUUUUUGUAAGGCUUUGGCAAGUCUUCCAGAUCUCACUUCGCCUUGUUCUCCGGCCGCAGUUGCUCCCCUGCCUUAAUUGCUGCUGCCCGUCUCCCCUUAAGGCACUGUAAAUUGUUUAAAAACAAGUGGUUCAGCUUUCUAGUCUUAGCAAAAUGAUGGCCUUUAGAGACUAAAGGCCUGGACCGCUAUUCCUCCGACACAGAAGAAACACCACGAGGUGCUGUGAAGGAGAUGGCAUGACAAAUAGUGAGGAACCUGGUGGUGCGCUUACACACAUGAAAUUCAUAUUUCUGACCUAUUCAUUCACAAUUCAUAAAGCUGACAGAGAGAACGUAGAUAAGGAACCUCAUAAAAACUUCUUACACGUGCAGCCCGCGUCUUUCCGUCUGAGUCUUGUAUCUGCUUAUGUGGAAAAACCCAUCUUAGUUUGAGGCCAAAAGGAACAGUCGUUUCCAUUUAAAAGACAGAAUACCGAGAGAGGUGAAUGGAAAGAGAGGGGGAUGCUUUGAAAUAAAAGUCUCUUUCAAAAUUUUUCUUUUCUGUCUUUUGAAAGCGUUGGUUCUUCCGUGCUCAUACUUAGAUUGCCGACGAACACCAAGCAGUGUAGACGGUCCUUUGUAGAAACACCAAGCAGUGUAGACAGUCCUUUGUCUAGGUCUAGGACCUUCUGUGUUGGCCUUUUUCUUUACCAGGAUAUAGGGAAUCUUGAAUCCUCAGGAGGACCAGGGGAAGGGGUUCUGUCUGUGAGGGUAACGAGGGGAGGUGGCUCCCUGGUAAGGAUUCCCUGUGCUCCCUGGCCCUGCUGGUCACCAUAAUUACUCGGCAUGAAUGGCUGUAACCUUCACGCUUCCCUCCACACAGACAUAGCAGGGAGUCAAGAUUCUGAAGAAGUUGCUAAGAAACAAGGGCCACGGUGUCUCAGGACACACGGACAUCACCAGCACAUUUCUUCAGUGACCCCAGUCUCCAGUUUCAACUUUGAAAUCAAAAUGGAGACCGGGGUCAUCUAGCUCUGAGACUCUCAUCACUGAAGGAAUGAGCUGGUGAUUUUAAAACAAAGUUGAAACUGAUUCUUCCCACUCUCUACUUGUAGUGUAGGCUUAAAUCCCCUUUCUUUGUUCGGGAGUAAUUUGAUCAGAAUUGUGCCUUUGUUGAGAGUUAAUUCUAUGGAAUUCUUUAGUAAUAAAGUGUCUCUUUAUACACAUAGUCCUUGGUCACCCUGCUUUGCAACAUAAAAUGUAUGAAAUGUUCAGGAAAAAUUCCUUUCCAGCACCAUAUAAUCUUUUAGUAGACGGUGGCUAAGCUAUUUACCUCUUGAUAAGAAGUUAGUGGAAAAAAAAAACUGCAGGGAAAAUAUUCUGUAUUUCCUUUUUGAUCUUAGUAAUUGGUUUUAUAAUUGGUAGACCUAUGUUGGCACCCAUGAGCAACUACCUGCCAUUUAGAAGCAAGCCCGUGUUCUAGCAGUUUAAUGAAUGCUGGCCAGUGCUAGGCCCCCGUGGCAACAACUCUACAUAACACCUCUGGUGAGGCAGUGUGCAAUUUCCUAGUUUUCCCAUGUACCUCUAACAAAAUCAGUGAAAGUUGCCCCCUCAAAAAGACGCCAAGAAGCAGGCCUCACUGGUUGUAGCCAUUGGGAAAAGAAACCAGUUAUGUUGGCAAAGAAAGGACUUAGGCCUUUAAAUUGGAAUACGGUCUUGCUCCCAUGGGGCAGGAGGGGAGGACCUCCUGUCCUCCCAACCUCCACAACCACAGGACCCCAGGUUCUUUUGAAGGCAAGGACUUCUCUCAGGUACUGCUGUGGUGGUUGCAAGUUCCCAACUGCAAAUUGCAGCUCAGAACACUGGUUAAUCAACUGUCUUUGAGAAAAUUUUUCUUUUCUUUUUGCAAUUAUAAUAUAUUUGCAUCAUUUCUACCUUCCUUUUCUUCCCUUCUAACCUACCAGUAUAUCUGCCCAUCAUUCUCCAAUUCAUGGCCUAAUUUUAUUGUUACAUGCAUAUAUAUAUAUAUAUGGAAUGUAUAUGGGCAAAAGACACCAGUUCACCAGUUAUGUUGUCAAGAAAACCACACACACACACAUAUACCUAUAUAUAUUCAUGUGGCUCACAUAUACGUACAUACAUAUGUAUGUAUGUAUACAUUCCUAAGUAUAACCAGCUCCAUCUGUAUAACAUCACUGAUACCUAUGUUUUCAGGGCCAACCCUUUGGUUUUGGAUAACCACUUCGUGUGCUCUUCCCUGGAGUAGACUGCUCCUCCCACUGUCAUACUCCUUAGUUGUAUGUAGUUCUUAGUGUGGGACUGAGGUCUCAUGGUCCUUCCCAGAUCCACUUUGGCAUGCUAACCAGUGUCUUCUUGUUCAGCUCACACUUAGGCAGUCAUGUUGCUGAGACUUCAUAGGUAUGACAGUCAAGCUUUUGUUCUUUUAUUCAGCCCAGGAUCUCACCCUGUGGUUCUUGGUCACCCAAGCAGUAUUGAGCAUGAGUUCCAUCUUAAGGAAUGGGCCAUAAGUCAAAGCAGAUGUUAGUUGGUUAUUCCUACAACUUCUGUGCCGCCAUUUUUUUUCUAGUGUAUUUUCCAGGCAGGACAGAUUGUAGAUCCAAGAUUUUGUGGCUGGGUUGGUGUUUAUAUUUCUCUUUUGUUAGGGUGCAGAGUACCUUUCUAUACCAAAGGCAUUAGAACACGGGGAGAAAGAUGCCAUGCAGGCACCAGCUCGGUUUCUCCAUGCUCCAUGAAGUGUGAGGGUGUUAUCAGUUUACAGAGAACUUCCUACUGUCUUGGCAACAGCCUGGGUCGUUUGAUGAUUUCCAUGGGACCCUUUUUGCCAACAACUCAAUUGAAUGUAAUCCAGUUCUGGUACUAGAAGCUUUGGUGGCAAGAGAGAGGCAGUUGGGACUCUGUCUCCUCCAUUAUUAGGAGAAUUCACAAGGAUCCUUUCAUAUAUUUUAGGACAUUUCCACUGCAUUAGGUUUCCAUGCAACUCCUCAAACACCCCUCAAUUUUGUCUCCUCCCACCUUCUCUUCCUCAACCUCAUUUUCUACUUUAUAUAUGACUAUCAAUUAAGGAGUGCCCUGUGUUGAUAGAUCCAUAACCUUACUAACAUGUGAUGUUUUGUGUUUGAAAAUCUUACUCAUUUUGAUGUAUGUGUGAAGUGCUAUCUCAUUUUGAUUAUACUUUGCCUUUUGCUAGUCACUAAUGAUAUCGAAGCAUCUCUUCAUAUGCUUUUUUCGUUAUAUCAACUUUAUCCCCAAAUACUUGAUAGGGCUAAUUUAGAAGAGAGAGUUAUUUUUACUCAUUGUUUCAAAGGGCUCAGGCAGUUGAUUUUUUGCUCACAUGCUUCAUCUGAGAGUCUGUAGGAAUAUAAGGUAGCAGAGACUGCUUAGCUCAUGGUGGACUGGAAGAAGAGAUGGGGGAUACUGGAGAUCAGGAAAAAUGUGGUAUAAGUCCUGCCCAAUUGAGCCAUAACCAGGAAGGCCCUACCUUUAACAGUCUUCCUUGAACCAACAGCACCAAGUGACAAAGGUCUAAUGUCUGAGACUCUGGGAGUCAUCUAAUAUCACUGGCAUCCACACCUUCUCUGUGAAAUGUCUUCAUAGAUGUCAUCACAAUGACAUCACAAUGAUGACAUCACAAACGAUGGUUGGUCUUUCUUUAGAUGUGAGACACAGGCUUUGUUUGACAUGUGCACUGCAUCGAUUCCCCUCCAGAGCAUCACUUGGGUCUUCUCUUCAGUGGGACCUCUCAUGAAGCAGGAGUUUUGGGUUCUCUUUCUCUGCUUACUCCAGGGUCUCAAGUGAGGCAAGCAUCUUAUAUUUCUAUUAUUGAGUGAUACCCUUAGCUCUAGUUUUAAAUUUGAGUUACCUCUGAUUCCCCCCUUUCCAUUUCUGCCUCACACUUUGGUAUUUUAGCUCAGAAAUCACCAUCUUACAUGGCCAUAAUUCGUUUUUACCGACUUUCUUCCUGUAAAAGUUUUUAAGUUAUAACCUUACCAUGAAAGUCUCUGAUCCAUUUCAAGUCAAUUUUGAAUUUUACUUUUAAUUAAAAGUUUCUUUUAAACAUGAGACAUACUCUUAACAGACAUUAAGUGCGUAGUUGGAUAUUGUUGACUAUAAAUCCAGUGUUGUAUAUGACCAAACUCUAGAAUGUUUUUUACCUUUCCUGGUGAAACCUCAGCCCGCUUGGUUAGUAACUCCAUUUUGUCCUCCCAGUGUCCCUGGGAAACUGCCAUUCUAUGCUUUGGUUCUAUGAAUUUGAGUGUUUUAGACACCUUAUGUACAUGUAACCAUGCAAGAUGUGUCUUCUGUGCCAGGAUUACUUCACUUAACAUAUUGUCUUCAGAGUUCACCCUAUUAUACACUGAAGAGAUUCCCUUUAAUUUGUAAUAAUUAUAUUUGCAAAUAUACAUACCUUCUUUUUCUUAAUAUUUUUACCAUAAUGGGUAAAGGAAUUUUUUUUUACAUUAACUGGAAACUUAGGAAGUUGCUCUUUUUUUUUUUUACAUUAACUGAAACUUAGAAAAUUGAGUUUUAUAUAUUAUUAUUAUUAUUAAUUUUAAAUACUUAUGCAUUUAUUUUAUGUAUUUAUUUUACUGUAGCUGUCUUCAGACACACCAGAAGAGGGCAUCAAAUCUCAUUAUAAAUGGUUGUGAGCCAUCAUGUGGUUGCUGGGAAUUGAACUCAGGACCUCUGAAAGAGCAGUCAGUGCUCUUAAUCAUUAAGCCAUCUCUCCAGCCCAUUAUUUUAUAAGUGAAUGUAGGAAUUUAAUGUUAUAAUGUUUCCUAUAGUCGCAGUGUGUGUGUGUGUGUGUGUUAUCUGGGACCAAAUCCAGGGUCUCAUAUAUACUGGGCAAGCAUUUACCACUAGGCGCCAUCUCCAGUACAAUAUUGUAUAUAUUUUGAUAUAUUGUAUUUUUUUGUUUAGUUUACUGUAUUUCCUAAGUUUUCUUGUGAUUUCAUUUUUUGACAUAUAGGUUAUAGCUCAUCACUUAAUUUUUAGUUUUUGGAGAUUUUCAAGCCAUCUGUUACUAAUUUCUAGCUUAAUUCCAUUGUGGCUGGAGAAUAUACUUGUUUCAAUCUCAAGUUUCCAAAAUAUACUGAUGCCUGUUUCUAUGCCUAGCAUGCAGGCUGCUGCUGUGGUGAAUUUUGUAUGCAGAACUGAGUGUGCCUUUUGAAAGUUUGGAAGUAAGGUUUAAGCAAUAUCUAUUAGGUCAAGUUGGUUAUAGAACACAAUAGGUAGAAUCAGCUGUAGCUAUUCUACUGUGGCUAGAGAAAAAAUUACCUUCAUUUGCAUCGGACACACAUUAUAAUUGAAUGACAUUGAAACAGGCCCCAGUGCCAGCUUGAAUCAAGUAGCACUGAUCUAUAUCAGAGAUUGUGUCUCACCCAAUCCUUUCUUUUUUUUUUAAUUUUUAAAAUUUAUUUUUCUCUCAUAUAUUACAACCCAACCACACUUUCUCCCUAUUCUCCUCCCAGCCCUUCCCUCUUUCAUUUUCUCAUAACUCACUCCUCCUUCAGUUCCCUUUGGAAAAGAGCAGGCCUCCCAGGGUAUCAACCAAACGUGAGAUAUCAAAUUGCACGUCCCCUCAAAUGAAGGUUGGACAAGGCAACCCAGGAGGAGGAAGAGGGUUCCAAGAGCGAGCAAGAGUCAGAGACAGCUCCCCACUAUUAGGAAUCGUACAAGAAGACCAAGCCAUCCAACCAUAACAUAUAUUCAGAAGGACUAGGUCAGACUCAUGCAGGCUCCCUGAUAGUUCAGUCUCUGUGAGCAUCUAUGAGUUCCAUUCUGUGGGCCAUGACCCCUCUCUCUCCAACAAUCUUCCCUCCCCUUCUUCUUCAGGAUUCCCCAAGCUCCACCUAAUAUUUGGCUGUGAGUUUCUGUAUCUGUUCCCAUCAGUUGCUGGAAGAAGCCUGAUGGCGAUUAUCCUAGGCCCCUGUCUAUGAGGAUAGAGGAAUAUCAUGAGGAAUCAUUUCAUUAGUUGUAUCAUGGGUCUCUGCGCUAUCCAGUCUCUGGGUCCUGGCUCUCUGGGCAGUAUCAGAGGUGGGCUUCCUUUUGUUUCAUGGUCUCAAACUGGACUAGUCAUUGGUUGGCCACUACCAUAGUUUCUAUGUCUCCUUUGCUCCAGCACGUCUUGUAGGCAGGGAUGUUGUAGGUAGAAUUUUUGUGUUUGCAUUUCACCCAGGGCUUUCAGUUUGGAGUGUUGCUGAAAACAAUGGCUUCUAUAUAGCAACAAUAUUUUUGUUAUAAACAAAGUAAAAGAAUCAUGCAGAUUACAUAUCUCUUGUCUGAUAUCACUUAAGACUGGUACAUUUGAAAUGACCAGACAAAAGUUUGCAACUUCUAGAUAGUGGUAUUUUUGUUGAUAGAAAAUUUAAUCGUACUCAUGGCUAAAUCCAUGGCUGGUUUCUUGGAGUCUCUGACCAAACAGAAUUUGCAAACAAAGAAGGACUUCCUUACUAUAGGCAGUUCCUAGUGAUUCCAGCUCUUACAGCAACACAAACCUGUGAGCUAACAGACAGACUCAGAGGUUAAGUGUCUGAUAGAAGUUUAUGGUUCUAAGCUCUGGAGGCCAGAGAUGAACAGUUCUGGAUAUAUAGCUGGGGGGCUUUACUGCUCUGCAUUUGGUAGAGUCACUGUGCAGCACUUAACAUCCAGGGAUUCUCGGGGCGUGCAACAGCUAGAAUGAGCAGUGGUUCUAGCCACCUGUGUUCUGAGCUCUCUAGCUCUGUGUGUUGGGCCUGCUGGCAUUGCUCCUGCCACCACUGUCAUUGCCACCGUGGUCGCCCCCUUGCCUUUAUGUUAUAGCCUAGCCUCCUUCCCCAGUGCUAAAGAGUACAAGGAAGCAUGAGACCACCUUUGGAGAGAGAGAAGCCUUUCGUUGGCGUGAUCGUUACUUCAGAAGCAUCAAAACAACAUGCCCCUGUUGAUUUGAAAAUGAGUGGAGUCUAUGGUCACACCACCCCUGAAUGCACAUGCUCUCAUGAAUAGCCUGUGUGGCAUGAAUGGGGCAUGUAGCACUAAUGCUACUGCGGCCACCACUGCCGCCGCCGCCAGCAACAACAAAACAAAUGGACCAACGAAAAGUAUUUUAUUUGCAUUGGUAACAGUGUAGCUCUUAAUUCCACUAAACACAGGUGUUCUUACAUAGAUGCUUAGAACCAUAAGCCUCCAGGUCUCCCAUCUCACCAAUCAUUGGCUUCCUGGUGUGAUAAAGAGUUGAUCCCCUCUUACAUUGAGUGAGAGUCUAUCUAUCUAUCUAUCUAUCUAUCUAUCUAUCUAUCUAUCUAUCUAUCUAUCUAUCUAUCUAUCUAAUAUUACACACACACACACACACACACACACACACACACACACACACACACACACACAACUUAUUUUUGAAGUGCUUUGGUUACCUCAAAGGCUGGACACUCUUAAACCUUUCCCAGACCCAUUUGAGAAAGUGGCCACCCACCAGAAUUCUUACAUGGCUCUUUGGCUCUCUCUCCUGUAGCUCGAAAUCUAUUUCCUACCUCAUCAUGGCGAUCCUCCUUUUUCUCUCUUGUUUCUAUCCUGCACAACUCUAAGGGUCCCACCCUGUCUCCCUUUGCCCAGCCAUCGGCCCUUGGUGUCUUUAUUGAUUGAUCAAAAAUCAAUUGGGGACAGGGACCUUUAGGGUUUGGGCAUGCUGCUGACUCCUGAUUGAAUCAAGGUAUUAGAACAAAUCUCCAACAGAUAGGCAUCUAGUGAAAUAAAAUAAAAAGCAUGUUCUGCACAAUUUUUUAAAUUAAAAAGUUAAAAAUUGAUGUUACAGCUGGGUGGUGGUGGAGCAUGCCUUUAAUCCUAAUACCUGGGAAUCAGAGACAGGCAGAUCUAUGCAUUUUGAGGAUAGCCUGGCCUACAGAGUGAGUUCUAGGACAGCUAAUGCUACACAGAGAAAUACUGUCUUGAAAAACAGAACAAACAAAACAAAACAAAACCCAAAAAGAUGUUGAUGUUACAUACGAUGCAUCUCUCUAUCUGUAUGUGUGUGUAUGGAUAUAUUGACUAUAUAUGUUUCAUAGUCUCUGUAGAAGAGUAGGAAAUAUUCCAAAUAUUACUCCUUAAUACCAAUGCAAACAGAUAUUUAACAUUUCCUUUCUUCCAGGAGGUUAUUAACAACAAUUCAACAACAACAACAACAACAAAAAUGGUAUUUAUUCGGAAGAGGGAGUGGGAGGCAAUACAGGGAGUUUGGGGCAGUACUGGUGGAGGGAUAUGAUCAAUAUAUAUAUUAUAAAUCUAUACAACUUUAAAAAAAUAAAAAAUAUGAAAAAAUAAGUUUCCUUCCUUUUAGGUGUAACUCUAAUUUCUCCAGUAUCCAUUGAUUCAGUAGUCAAGCAGGAAAACACAUUCCUGUAAUAAAAGGUGACAAACAGACACAGACGGAGAGCACUGACAUUUACAGGUGCCUGAGGACUCCUUGGGCUAUACCAUGACACGCUGCAGAUGUCCUCAUAGAGAUGGAAGUCAGGAAACAAAUGAUAUUAGCUAUAAAUGCAAUAUAUGUAAACAAAAAUGUACACAUUAGCCUGGGCUGAGUUUGCUAAAGAAACUGGACCACCAGUCCUGGAAUCUCUCUAAUUAUUACAAAAAGGAGACGCUGUCACUUUCUCCUUGUAGAGCAGCCUAUGGAGAGAUGCCCCAAACAGAUCAAAACAGAGAGGAAGUGAUAGAACUCUUACUUUCUGAACAUCACUGUCAUGUAAUUGCUUUGCUGAAGAAAUAGUAGCCAGAAAUUUACUUAGCCAAAUUCCCAAAACCAUCCUAUUUUUAAUUAAACUAGAUUAUUUGCGACACAACAGAGGAUGAUUCUUUUUAUCCCUGUCAUAAAGGAUGAUUUCUCAUGUUUGCUUCACUCCCAGAGGUUUAUUCAUGUGAAGCCACUGUUGGAGAACAUGUCCACACCUUGGACAAGUAUCACAGUAUGUGCAUCAUCGUAUGGACUCCCUUUUCUAUGAACACACAGGUUCUUGUUUCUAUUGAAAAACUUUUCAUAUAAUAUAUUCUGAGCAUGGUUUCCCUUCUCCUAACCUCUCUAAGAUCCUUCUCAUAUCCCCACCUACCCACUCCGUGUCCUCUUUUUCCUCUUUUCUGAAAGCAAACAGGCAAGCAAACAGACCAGAAUAAGAAAAACAAAAUGCACCAGAGACCUGGGAGGUGAGAGACUCCCAGGACUCAUAGGGAGGGACCUUAGAUGAAAUGCCCAACAGCAGGGAGAGGGAACUUAUAGAGCCCACCUCCAGCAGGAAGACAGGACAUCAAGUGAGGGAUGGGGUUGCCAUCCCACAGUCAUACAUCUGACUCAUAAUUGUUCCUGUCUGAAAGAAUUACAGGGAUGGAACUGGAGAGGAGGCUGAGGAAAAGAAGGUCCAGCGACAGGCCCAAAGUGGGAUCCAGCUCAAGGGGAGGUCCCAAGGCCUGACACUAUUACUGAGGCUGUAGAAUGCUCACAAAAAGGGAUCUAUCAUGACUGCCCUCUGAAAGACCCAACAAGCAGCUGAAAGAGUCAGAUGCGGUUAUUUGCACACAACCAAUGGACAGAAGCUGCUGAUCCCUGUUGCUGAAUUAGGGAAGCUGAAAGAAGCUGAGGAGAAGGUGAUCCUGUAGGAGGACCAGCAGUCUCAAUUAAUCUGGACCCCUGAGAUCUCUCAAACACUGGACCACCAAAUAGAUAGCAUACACCAGCUGAUGUGAGGCCCCUAACACACAGUAGAGGACUUCUGGAUCUGUGUUCAUUCAGAUAUGAAGCACCUAACCUUCAAGAGACUGGAGGCCCCAGGGAGUUUAGAGAUCAGGUUGGGGGGUGGUGGGAGCAUCCACCUGGAGAUGGGGUGGGGUGGGGAGGAGGUGUGGGAUGUGGAGCAGUCAGAGGGAGGAUGGGGAGGAGCAGGGAAUGGAAUAUGCAGUGUAAAAAAUGAAUUACAAAUAAAAUUAAAUUAAAGCAAAACAAAACAGAAAACAAACCACAGAAAUACACACACACACACACACACACACACACACACACACACACACACACACACACACACACACACACACAAACACACACAUCCCUCUGCAGAGAGGUGUUUGAUGAAGACAGCCUAUUUAGAACUAUGUGUUCCAAAGUCUCUCACUCUCUGCACAUUGUCCAGUUAUGAGUCUCUGUGUCAGUUCCCAAUCUACUGCAAGAGGAAACUUCUCUGAUGGUGUCUGAUCAAGAUACUAAUCUAUUGGUAUAGCAGAACAUCAUUAGCAAUCAUUUUAUUGCCAUGUUCCUUUUGCAGAAAAAAAUAGUAUUUGGGUUUCCCCUAGGCUCAUGACCUAUAUCCAGUCUCAAGUUCUUGGCCACCAGUGUCAGACAUGGUUGCGUCUUGUGGAGUGAACCAGAGACAAGUAGUUGGUUGCUCCCACAAAGUUUGUGCCACUAUUGUCCCAGCAGAUCUUGUAGGCAGGCUUAGUAGCUGGAUUGACAAUGACCUUUCACUGGGAGCAUGCGGAACAUCUUCUAGUAGAAUGUACAAGUUCUUUAAAAACUAUUCUGAUAAUCUCAUUUGUUUUUAAAAAACAUAGCAUCACCAAGUCUUUGAGGAUUUUUUGUUGUUGUUUUGUUUUGUUUUUACUGUCAUGUAUAUUUGGGCAACAUUGAAUUAAAAUGUUUGAAUACUCUUCUCUUGUUGUGUUUUUAGAUUCAUGAGUGAGUUCAAUAUUCUAAGUGGCAGAGGAUUUACUAUCACACAUUUCUUAAAGCAUCUGACCAUGAAGAGAGACUGUGUGUGUGCGUGUGCGUGUGUGUGUGCAUGUGUAUGUGCGUGUGUAUGUGUGUGUGUGUAUGUGUGUGUGUGUGUGUGUAUGUGUGUGUGUGUAUGUGUGUGUGUGUAUGCGUAUGUCUGUGUGUGUGUGUGUAAAAUAUGUCAGUAUAUUCUGGAAGUCUGGAAUCCUAACAGUUAUCUUUUUUAAAGUGUUUAUUUGGGUUUCCUAACAUUGAAUCCCGGAGGAGUCAGACAAAAUCUUACUGGAUAGGGCUGGUGACAUAGGAGUUGGGUUGGUGACUGAAUUGUUAGAUAUUACCCAUCUCCAGCUAGUUGCUGACCUGAGAUGCAGACCCACUUUACUAUUAGAUCUUCUGACUUGUAAAGAAAAGAAACAGAUUUUCUCUUAUAGUUAAAAUUUGGGAGGUUAAUUAGGAUAUUUUAAGAAACAUUGUUUUUGGACCACACAAACCAUGCUUACAAGUAUCUUUAGCCUCCAUGCCAACAACUUCAAAUACCAAAGUCUUUUAUUCAACCUUUAUUACUCCUGGUUGUCUAUUGACCAUGCAGUGCCUUGUCUUAUCCAAAAUAUUUCAAGAUACUAAGCAUAUAUGUAUAACAUCAUGUAUAUAAUGAUUCUAUUAAUUCACUGAAUAAUCAGAUAUAGUAGUAAGUGCUAAGGGAUUUAAUUGAAACUUUUCCUUGUGGAAGCGUACAUUAACUGAAGUUUAAGGUGAAGAAAAUGAGGAUACUAAGAACAUUCUUGAAUGUUCACUUCAUGAGCAUUCUGAACGCAGACUUCAUGAGUUAGUCAAAUUGUGGUAGAUAGGAGAGGCAGGACGUGAAUCUGACCUGACUGCAAGACUGGUUUGCACUACCCAGCUGCCUCUUUUCUGUCUUCACCCGGGCUGGAAAAUGUACAAUGGCUAUGUAGUAGAUGCUUUUGCACUUGCGUUAUUGAAUAUAAAUCCUUUGAGAAUCAGAACAAUACUUCUACUAUCUUAUAGCUUCUUCCACAUACAAAGACACAUGCCAAAAGUCCUAGCAAUAGAGUGUAGCUAAAUAAAUAAUUGAAUACCUGAUAUUUAUUAACAGAUUUAUCUACAAGAGAGAACUCAUAAUUCUGAGCACAUAGUUGUUUCUCAAAAAUCAUUAACAGAUUGCUAAUAUAUUAUUGAAGAAGAUGGAGUAGUGUAAUAUUCAGAAUUCAAGUCAAGAAAUGUGACCUUCUUUGCUACCGGUCAGUGCGUCCUUUACAACCUUCAGUAGAUGCUAAGUUAUCCAAUCCAUAAACUAACUAUGUGGAACUAGGAAUUCAAUGAACUAUUUUUCAGCACUUGAAAAUCCAUAGCUCUGAUUGAUCCGUAUUGAUGUGGAGAUCAAACAAGUUAAAACUAGACUUAUGAUUUGAAUUUGCCUGUGGCAGUGUAUUAGUUAUGGAAAUUACCAUAGCAGGCAAUGGAAAAAUAAAAGGCUAUUACUUCCGUUAUCCCAAUCCAAAAAGUAUGUAGUGGCUCAUAGAACUCAAAGCCAUGGUUGGCACUAUGGGUAGCUUGGAACAUUUUAAUAAUUUAUCUUUCUCCUUCCUUUGAAAGAAACAUAUAUAAAAACCCUAGGUGGUCUCAUUGUGAAGUCAGAAGGCAAGACCAUUGGUCAAACACAUCAAUACAACUAUAUGAUUGUUUCAGAGACAGGCUCUCCCAUACUUUGGGCUAAACACAUCAGAGAAAGAGCCAGUAAAUAACAUUCCUCCAUGGUCUCUGCUUCAGUUCCUGCCUCCGGGUUCCUGCCUUGAGUUCCUGCUUUGAUGUCUCUCAGUGAUGGGCACACUGGAAAGAGAGACUCUGCGAGAGGACUGUGUAAAAGUACUUUUUAAAGUCACAAACUGGGUCAGUGUGGUCUGCGAUGAGAGGCUCCAGGUGUGCUCCUCCCAGGCACAGUGGUUGCAGAUCCUAAGAUUUGCCUUGACCAAGAUCAACGAACACACAGAGCCACGAAACGCAGUGGCCAGAGGACACUUUGGGUCACUUAGAAAUCCGAGCCUGCGUAUUAAAUAACAGAAACCAGCAUGUGUGUCCAAAUCCAGCCUAAUUAGGAUGCUGACACCUAAUAGAGAGUUAUCUGGCAAUAGGUAUGUGAUAUAGAUUCUUGUCAUAUAGAUAGUAAAAUUGGUACAAUGAUAAUGGCUAAAUGAAAGUACUUAAAGUUAAUGAAAAUUGAUAAAAUAAUGUGCCUAAAUGAAAGUGAAGUACUUGCCGACAUUGAUUGAAAAUUUGGGUUAUGCCCUGCCUGCCUUGGAUGCAUCCCAAGGUGAAUGCCAUGACAGGUACCUUUCUAUGUUCACUUCUUUUGUGAGUAAAGGCCUUUAUAACUCA